AACGAACGCUGGCGGCAUGCCUAACACAUGCAAGUCGAACGAGACCUUCGGGUCUAGUGGCGCACGGGUGCGUAACGCGUGGGAAUCUACCCUUGGGUUCGGAAUAACUCAGAGAAAUUUGAGCUAAUACCGGAUGAUGUCGCAGGACCAAAGAUUUAUCGCCCAAGGAUGAGCCCGCGUAGGAUUAGCUUGUUGGUGAGGUAAAAGCUCACCAAGGCGACGAUCCUUAGCUGGUCUGAGAGGAUGAUCAGCCACACUGGGACUGAGACACGGCCCAGACUCCUACGGGAGGCAGCAGUGGGGAAUAUUGGACAAUGGGCGGAAAGACCUGAUCCAGCAAUGCCGCGUGUGUG
rnacentral:rRNA from 1 species